rnacentral:lncRNA from 1 species
GUGGUUUGUGUCUCCUGAUUGGACUCCUACAAAUACAGAAUUGAUGGUAGGAAGGGUACCAGGAGAUAGACCCACACAGAUGGGAUUUGGGAACAGGUUUGGUUAUCCAAGGAGCAGUGCUGAGCUCCUUGCUAAUGGGAUAUGGGAGGCUGGUGAUUUCCGGGAAGUGACCUCACAAUGACUCAAGCUACCACAUACUGUUCAUUGUGAAAUGCCAGUUGAAGCAUAUGUCCUGCGAGCUUAGGGGUGCUACAAGUUGACCACUGCAGCAGUAAAGAUGAUUCUGAAGAAUGGCAUGGGAUGGAUCCUUUCGAAUGCACUUGAGCAGCGGUCUCCAACCACAGGGCCACAGAGCUGGAGCUGGAUCUACCAUGAAAGACUUCUGAAUCCAGGAAGAGAGACUGACUGGGCAACAUGUUAUUCAGGGUCUCCCUCUGUUGUCCAAGGCUGGAGUGUAGUAGUGCUAUCACAGCUGACUGCAGCCUCAACCUUCCAGGCUGAAGCGAUCCUCCCAUCUCAACCUCCCACGUGGCUGAGACUACAGGCGCUUGCCACUAUGCCCAACUAAUAUUUGGAAUUUUCCUAUACGUGGAUUCCAGAGGGGUGAUAGCGAAACGUGGGACCAUCCAGUUGCAGGAAAACGAGCUUAACACGCCCA